CCCCGCAGCCUGUUCAUUAACUGCAACCGCCACUCGUUUUAUUAUUAUUAUUAUAUUAAUAAUAAUAAUUUUUUUAAAGCCCCCCCCCACCCAAAAAAAAAGAGGUGGUUUUAGUUUCACGAAAAAAAAAGAAACUCAACGCCAAAAAAAAAAAAAAGAGCUCGUUUUCAGCCAAAGCAAAAUGACUAAGCUGUGGAUGGUGUUUUUUGGAGUUGUUGCUGUGGCUCUUUUAAUACAGGCGCAGGAGACCAGCAGCAGGUCCAGCCAGACCUCCUCCCAGGUCACUGCCAACGGCAACGCCAGCUCUGCUGUCAAUGGGGGCAACACCCCCACCACCAGCCCAGGGAAAACCUCAAAUCCCUCCACCUCCACCAACUCUACCACACCCAGCAGAGGUAGCAGCCUCUACUCCAGCAGCAUCUUACUUCUCCCCUUCACCAUCAGCACCUCCCUCCUCUACCUCUCCUGCUAGACACAGCACUUGACGGCACAGACAAGCCAGCAGCUCCAUAUCCAACACAACACAACCCCAUCAUGGAACUCAUGAUGGGCAGCUCAGCCCUUCCCUCAAGAGACUUUUUGUUUGCUCGCCCUCUCGUUUUCUGAAGACCCAGAACUUGCUAGAGAUUCCUGGCCAGCAUUCCGGUCUUGUCUCCCAUUCAAACCCAAACUGCAGUAUCUCCCGGCAGAUGCAAGAGGCGAUCAAACUCACAAUUGGUUCGUGGUGCCUUUUCCAUCCCAUCUCCAUCUCCAUCACCAUCUCUCGCUUUGUGGGACUGAGCCGCCCUGAUAGCUGCCAUGUGUAAAAGGAAGAAGAAGGAAUGAUUGGAAGAUCUUUUACAUCCAAAGGUUGUUUAUCUGACCUGUGUAAAUAAUAGACAACAGCACCAACACUUGUGUUUUUUCCCCAUUUAAACAGAUGCCUCCCUUCUCCACAAAAAAAGCUCCUUAAGCUUUACUCCGCUGUAGCGCGCGUUAAUAAGAACAUCCAGAGAAAGAAAGAAAGUGCAGAUGGCUCCUGGGAGAUUAGACAAGACAACAAAAUGUUUAAUUCAAAUAAACACACACAUUUGAGUGUCAACUAAAUAAUAGAUUGGCUUAUUUUCAAUACACACACAUAUAUAGGUCACUGUAACCGUGCACCCUGUCUUCAUUUCUUUCUUUGGAACCUGGUACUGUACACUAUAUACUGUGUAUUCACAUAAUAUCAAUUCAAACAGUUAAUAUUUAAAGACCUGCUUUUAAAUCCUACAUUUUUAGACUGACUUAGCGUUAAUUCGAAAUGAAUAUUUAAGAUGCCAAUUUGAGACACACACACACAAAACCCAAUGCUCUUUCUAUUUUUAGGAUACAUAUGAAAAUAUUUAUUUGGAUGGACAUGUCUUUUUGGCCACAGGUUGGUAUAUGACUCAUCUGGCAUAUAACUUCUGCAAUGGCGGUAUCCAAUGGCUUAUGUUGUCCCGAGUAAAUUUGUGUGUAGAAGAGCUUAUUUCAUAUUGGAUUCAAUAUUGAACCAUUUUUGAACUCAUUACUUUCUGAUUCCAUUUAAUAUUAAACAAAACAGUGUUUCUACUAAUGUUUUUUUCGUGGUGUGAGAACAUAUUAAAAAAUCCAGGUAGUCCAUUGUUUAUAUUUUUUUGUACAAAAUGUGCUGUUUUAUGGGAUUCGUUUUUGUUUGUAUUCGCCAUUAGUAUCGAUUUCGAGAUAAAUAUGUUGCUGUCGGGGAAACAAAUCUUGGUUAAUCCAUUUCUGCUGUACAUAGAAAGUACCUGACAAAUUAUUUAAGAUCUGGAAAUUUAAAACCUGCUUCAACCUACACUGAAAAAAGUCUUUGAAAUGUUUCAAUAAACUGAUGGUAAAACA